rnacentral:rRNA from 1 species
GCAGUCGAGCGGAUUGAUGGGAGCUUGCUCCCAUCAGUCAGCGGCGGACGGGUGAGUAACACGUGGGUAACCUGCCUGUAAGACUGGGAUAACUCCGGGAAACCGGGGCUAAUACCGGAUAACUCAUUUCCUCGCAUGAGGAAAUGUUGAAAGGUGGCUUUUAGCUAUCACUUACAGAUGGACCCGCGGCGCAUUAGCUAGUUGGUGAGGUAACGGCUCACCAAGGCGACGAUGCGUAGCCGACCUGAGAGGGUGAUCGGCCACACUGGGACUGAGACACGGCCCAGACUCCUACGGGAGGCAGCAGUAGGGAAUCUUCCGCAAUGGACGAAAGUCUGACGGAGCAACGCCGCGUGAGUGAUGAAGGUUUUCGGAUCGUAAAACUCUGUUGUUAGGGAAGAACAAGUACCGUUCGAAUAGGGCGGUACCUUGACGGUACCUAACCAGAAAGCCACGGCUAACUACGUGCCAGCAGCCGCGGUAAUACGUAGGUGGCAAGCGUUGUCCGGAAUUAUUGGGCGUAAAGCGCGCGCAGGUGGUUUCUUAAGUCUGAUGUGAAAGCCCACGGCUCAACCGUGGAGGGUCAUUGGAAA